rnacentral:rRNA from 1 species
UACGUAGGGUCCGAGCGUUGUCCGGAUUUAUUGGGCGUAAAGAGCUCGUAGGCGGUUCCGUAAGUCAGAUGUGAAAACUCAGGGCUCAACCCGGAGACGCCAUCUGAUACUGCGGUGACUGGAGUCUGGUAGGGGAACACGGAAUUCCUGGUGUAGCGGUGAAAUGCGCAGAUAUCAGGAGGAACACCGAUGGCGAAGGCAGUGUUCUGGGCCAGUACUGACGCUGAGACGCGAAAGCGUGGGGAGCGAACAGG